rnacentral:rRNA from 1 species
GAUGAACGCUGGCGGCGUGCUUAACACAUGCAAGUCGAGCGAGAAAAGUUCCUCGGAGCUUUUCUAGCGGCGGACGGGUGAGUAACACGUGGGCAACCUGCCUCAUAGAGGGGAAUAGCCUUCCGAAAGGAAGAUUAAUAACGCAUAACAUUGUUGAAAGGCAUCUUUUAACAAUCAAAGGAAUGAUCCGCUUUGAGAUGGGCCCGCGGCGCAUUCGCUAGUUGGUGAGGGAAGGGCUCACCACGGCGACAAUGGGUAGCCGACGCGAGAGGGUGAGCGGCCACAUUGGAACGAAGACACGGUGCAGAAUCCUACGGGAGGCAGCAGUGGGGAAUAUUGCAAAAUGGGGGGAACCUUGAUGCAGCAACGCCGCGUGAGUGAUGAGGGUCUUCGGGUUGUAAAGAUCUGUCUUUAGGGACGAUAAUGACGGUACCUAAGGAGGAAGCCACGGCUAACUACGUGCCAGCAGCCGCGGUAAGAC